rnacentral:rRNA from 1 species
GAUGAACGCUGGCGGCGUGCUUAACACAUGCAAGUCGAACGAUAAGGCCUGCCUCUUUCUGUGGGUUCUUGAGUGACGAAUGAGUAACUCAUACGUAGCUUACCUUUCUUUCUGUUCUGGAUCAGCGUGAGUAACUCUAUUUACUACCGGAUAGGUCAGCCGCUUAGUGUGUGUUGUGGAGAUUUUUUUCGGUUCAAGAUGAUCUCGCGGCCUCUCAGCUUGUGGGUGGGGUAAUGUCGCACAAAGGCGUCGACGGGUAGCCGGCCUGAGAGGGUGUACGGCCACACUGGGACUGAGAUACGGCCCAGACUCCUACGGGAGGCAGCAGUGGGGAAUAUUGCACAAUGGGCGGAAGCCUGAUGCAGCGACGCCGCGUGAGGGAUGAAGGCCUUCGGGUUGUAAACUCCUUUCAGUAGGGAAGAAGCGAAAGUGACGGUACCUGUAUAAGAAGCACCGGCUAACUACGUG